UAUCCUGUCUGAAUAUGGGGGGACCAUCCUCCAAGGCUAAAUACUCCUGACUGACCGAUAGUGAACCAGUACCGUGAGGGAAAGGCGAAAAGAACCCCGGCGAGGGGAGUGAAAAAGAACCUGAAACCGUGUACGUACAAGCAGUGGGAGCCCCACCACUAAGCCAGUGGUGAACUCCACAUACGCAUCCUUUGCUGAGGAUACGGUUAACGGAGCGAAAGCGACGUUCAACCGCAAAAGAAGCAGAGGGGGCUUAGUGGUGGGGUGACUGCGUACCUUUUGUAUAAUGGGUCAGCGACUUAUAUUCUGUAGCAAGGUUAACCGCAUAGGGGAGCCGGAGGGAAACCGAGUCUUAACCGGGCGUUAAGUUGCAGGGUAUAGACCCGAAACCCGGUGAUCUAGCCAUGGGCAGGUUGAAGGUUGGGUAACACUAACU
rnacentral:rRNA from 1 species